rnacentral:rRNA from 1 species
CUCUUCGGAGAAGAGCGGCGGACGGGUGAGUAACGCGUGGGUAACCUGCCCUGUACACACGGAUAACAUACCGAAAGGUAUGCUAAUACGAGAUAAUAUGCUUUUAUCGCAUGGUAGAAGUAUCAAAGCUUUUGCGGUACAGGAUGGACCCGCGUCUGAUUAGCUAGUUGGUGAGGUAACGGCUCACCAAGGCGACGAUCAGUAGCCGACCUGAGAGGGUGAUCGGCCACAUUGGAACUGAAACACGGUCCAGACUCCUACGGGAGGCAGCAGUGGGGAAUUUUGCGCAAUGGGGGAAACCCUGACGCAGCAACGCCGCGUGGAGGAUGACGCCCCUUGGGG